UAGCUCCAUACGUUUCAAACGAUGAUUUAAAUUGACAUACUCGGGAAUGCGAUCGUUUUCAAUCAGCUGACUGCACAGCGGAUACCUUUCGCUCAUCCAUCGAAAAAACUAAUUGUUAAAAACUUAUACAAAAUAUCGAUAACAACCUUUGGAAUUCCCAUACUGAACGAACUUUCUCAUUAACAGUUAAAUAGGAAUAAAUUUAGAAAGUAUUGUUGUUAGUAGAGAACAAAUGUCAACAUAUGCGGUGCUUGCACGUAUCGAUAGGCCCCAGGUUAGUGAAGUUUAAGGAGUUAGUUAUAUAGUACAUGAAAUAUUGAAAAUGUGUAGAUCCUCUUUGAUUUAAUAUCAUACUAACAGAAGCCUUUUUAACGAUAUCAUUGUGAGUAAAGAUAUUAUCAUAUUAUCAUUUUUUUCAACAAAAAUACAAAUGGCAAAAUAGUUAGUCUUUGAGACUAGCUGAGUCUAAAAUAGAGCAAGUUCUUAAACAUUGAGGCGAAGGAAGGAGUUUAGUUGUUUGAAAAACAAAUCAAACACAUUUAUCAAGAAAUACGUUUCGACUAAUUGAAACUGCAGCAGUAGUAGAUGAUUAAAAAACAUUGGCAAAUUUUAUAAUUAACGAGACAUUU